UUGACACCCUACCUGUGCUGUUGAAUGCCUCUGCAAAAAGUUCGCACCUACAUUCACGAUCUGCACAAACCACACAAAGUGAUUUACCAUGCAACUACGUAAGUUUUCUACAGACGUGAUUUCUCUUAUACGGCUCAAGCAUACUGUGAAAAAGUAGCCCUGCUUAUCUGCAUUGAGUGCGAACCAACUAGGGUGCAGCAUAAUAGAAAUGUGGGCACUACACGCAUUCGCGUUCCUAUUGGUUACGAAUACUAUUGUUGGACGUUCUACACGUGUUGAUGCAAGGAACUAUUCUUGUGACAUACCACCGACAGUGGAGAGCUGUAGCAUUGUACACCGAAAGUGGAGCUUCGUGCUCGAGUCGAAUAGGUGCGAAAUAACCUAUGUGUGCUCUGAUCACCCCAAUAGAUUCCACACAAAAGAGGACUGUGAAGCAGCUUGCCCGCGCCUUACAGAUCACACACCUCUACCAAGAGAUGACUGCUCGUAUUGGAUUACACAUUUAGACCAGUGCAAGUUCAAACGAGAGACGUCCUACCCUGACCGUCGAGGGCGAAGACAGCCCACAUUACUAUACAGGUUCUGUGGAGAAAGAAACACGAAAUUAUAUGCUUACUACUUCAGAACUGGUCAUUGUGUAGAAAUCGUACUGCGAACAUGGUGAGCAAGAAAUAAAUUUAGAACUUAAGAAUAUUAUAAAAAUCCUUUACUUCCUUCCAAGUGUAAUUUUAAUAAAGUGAAGCAAGAGGACAUCAAGGUCUAUAACCAUGUUCUGCUUU
rnacentral:lncRNA from 1 species